rnacentral:rRNA from 1 species
GACGAACGCUGGCGGCGUGCUUAACACAUGCAAGUCGAACGGAAAGGCCCUGCUUUUGUGGGGUGCUCGAGUGGCGAACGGGUGAGUAACACGUGAGUAACCUGCCCUUGACUUUGGGAUAACUUCAGGAAACUGGGGCUAAUACCGGAUAGGAGCUCCUGCUGCAUGGUGGGGGUUGGAAAGUUUCGGCGGUUGGGGAUGGACUCGCGGCUUAUCAGAUUGUUGGUGGGGUAGUGGAUUACCAAGGCUUUGACGGGUAGCCGGCCUGAGAGGGUGACCGGCCAAAUUGGGACGGAGAUACGGCCCAGACUCCUACGGGAGGCAGCAGUGGGGAAUAUUGCACAAUGGGCGGAAGCCUGAUGCAGCAACGCCGCGUGCGGGAUGACGGCCUUCGGGUUGUAAACCGCUUUCGCCUGUGACGAAGCGUGAGUGACGGUAAUGGGUAAAGAAGCACCGGCUAACUACGUG